CUGUGCUUAGCUCAGAGGUCAGAGCAGCUUGAACAUAAUCCCCCGUUCAAGAGAUCGCUGGUUCGAAUCCAGCAGCACAGA
rnacentral:tRNA from 1 species